UAUAGCGUUCUCUCUUGUUUUAUCUUUAUCUGUUGGAUGUGAAUACUCUACCGCCUCCGCCUCCGCCUCCACCUCCUCUCCGAAUCAUCCUGACCCCUCGGCGGCAUUGGCGCUUUAAAAAGCAAACACUGGCUUGUGGGGGCCACUGGCGAAUUGUUUGCUCUGUCACAGUGUGUGACGCCGUUUUGUUUAAAUAAUGAGAGGGAAAAUGGCAAAAAAUGCGAAUGUUUUUCGCCGCCUUUAAUGUAAAAUUCAAAUAUUUACCCGACGCGGGCUUCCUCAACGUUCAAGGGGGAGCAUUGGGUGGAUCGGGCAUGGGCGCAAGGGACGGCAAACUUAUACAAGCGGUCGGCAUUUGCAUGGCUUUCCUUGUUGCUCGCCAUAAGAAAGAAAUUUAAAUAAACCACGAACAUUGUUUGAGUAAUGUGCUCAAAAUAAACGAAGCCAUUCAUGGGCACCACUGAGAAUUGCAAACAGAAGCGCACACACUGCACAGUAGAGCUUCCCUAACGAGAGCUAUACCACAUCAGAAUUUAAGCAAGAGGGAAUGCUAUAGUGGAAGCUAGUCGCAGUGCGAACGAGAUAUCUUAAAAUUUUCUGAAAUAUCGGCUGAAAAAUUAAAACAAUUUACAUUUUUUUUAAAAGUGGGCGUGACAGUUUUGGGAGGCUUGUGGGCGUUAGAGCGGGCGUGGUAACAUUAGUGCGGUGUGUCCAUGUCUCUUGAAUCUGAAUGCCCAAUCUCAACUUUCUAGCUUUUAUAAUUAAAAAAUUAAAAUGUGUGUGCGUGACAGUUUUGGUAAAUUUGCCCCUUUUGCUUCAAUUUCAUUUUGUACUUUUCUUGCCAUAACUACUCUACUGACUGUGCCGCUGCUGAAGUGAAAUGAAUGGCGACAAACUGUGCCCAUAAGUGGCAUGCAUUCAUUUCUGGGCACGAAACAUGACUAAAGUCCCAUUCGAUUCGCACAGGAAUUGCUUGUUUCAGUGUAAAUCUUUCGCCAAAUGUCUGAGGCCUCGGCACGUUUGUUUUUCUCUCCUUUGUACUUAAGCGGGUAUUUGCUCGGGACCAGGGAAAAUAUUUAUUGAGCACGAUUUUGAAAUAUGAACGCUUUCCAGCCGCUCGUCCCUCGCUUUGCCUCAGGUUACGCAAGCAAUUAGAAGGGACUCGAACUCAUGGCAAAGGUUGUCACUCAUGCCAUGAAGGCGAAAAAAAGGCCAUCCGCAGAGGUCCUCCUGUGCACCGAAGAGGAAGUAAGCCGGACUACCGUCGAUGGUACCUCCAACCCCGAACACCGAUCCCCGAUUCCGUACCCACGGUACUAUCAAAGAAAUCAAGUGAACAAAGGACAAAGCCUCUGGCAUUGGAGGGCAGUCGCAGAAGCGGCCAAAGCCUCGAAGUGGGCUAACGACCUAUGGUAAAACGUGAUCCUUCUCAGAAUAAGUAGGAAAGUCUGUUCACAGGCUCAACAACUUAGUCUGCUAAUGAUAACUACUAUGCCAAGUGAACUCACUUAAUUCGCACUUGAAAAGAUGGAUUCCCUGGGAGCAGCGUUGAUAAUUGAGCUGGCACCUAAGGCUACCUGCCCUCUUCUAGUUUGAAGAACAUAGAGUGCAGAUUCCAGUUCUAUUUGAAAAAUAUGGUAUCAACUUCGGUACAAAUGAAAUCAACAUCAAUCCAUACUUUAUAUCCAACAUUCUAAAGAGCUGAGGCUUUUAGCUAAAUGCCACGACCUUCUAAAAACUCCACCCGAUGCUGGGCUGAUUUCUAUAUGACUAUAUCUUUCCUCGCGGCUGCUACAACACCAUCCCCUUCGCUCCCCCUGGACAUCGCCAUCCCCACGCGGUCUUCACAAGCAAACUGCACAUAAAGCCCCGCCCAGGCCGCCUUUUCCAUCUCCUACGAGUGGUGUUUAGCUCUUCGCGUGCGUGUCUGGGGCCAUCAGAAAAGAUAUAUCACUACCACGCAGCGCCGACAUUGUUGCAUAUGGGAGUACAUGUGAAUAUGUGAAUACACGCGGGCAGGAGGCAAAAACCAUUCGGUAUGUAACAACUAGCACGGGCGCGGCCCUCUAAAUUCAUUAAAAAAGGCCGAUAAUCAACAAAUUUAUAGGCGUAUGCCAACACAUCAGUGUCCGAGGUACGGGGAGUACAGGGAGUGUGGGUUCGAACUUCGAAGCCCGGGGCAGGUCUCUCGUGUAAUUUGCGCACGCUUAUCAAAUUGUAAAAUCUACUUUCAAUUCGAGACAAGAGACUUGCCGUAACCCGAGACGUGAGCAAUAACGAGUCGAGUGAUAUUUCGCGUUCUCCAUAAUAAUUCUGAUUAUGGAAAAUCGAUAAAAAUCAAUUUGCAAUUUGUAGACUGCGCCCUACCGAUGGUCGGUCACACCCAGUCCACAGUGCCUUCAAUCCAACUUAAAUCGCAUUGAGUUGCCCACUUUAAAACUUAUUUCUAUCCGACUGUGGAUGAACUAUUAAGAUUAAAUUCUUCGAAAAUUUAAGUAAGCAGGUAAUUGCAUAUGAGUCGAAUCGAUCAAUGAAAAAAUCCUUUGCUGGUUAAUUGCAUGCGUCUCGAAUUAGACGCAAUUAUUUUGAAAAUGAAAAAUGACCGAUGGUUGAGCCAAUUUAACCAUUCUCGCUGAAGGCCAGAGGCCCGCAUAAGGUCCGCUUCCCCACUACUGUACCUGCCAGCAAAACUAAUUAAAUAGUGUGUGAACGGAUACACCUGAGCUGAUGUGGCUUUUGUCGACGGAGCCAGCGGCGAAAAAAUCAAUUUUAAAAUGUCAAAGACGAACGCGCAUGGGACAGCAGCCCCAGCCCCAAUCCCCUUCUAACCACCCCUCACCCAGAGCAACAGACCGUUUGAAGUGACAAGGGCGACACCCCCAAGCCACCAAAAGCAACCCACCCACACGCAGCUAAAGCAAUUUGUAUAUUUUAAUAGAUGAAAGUCAGCUCGCUUUUGUGGGCCCCGAACGGAGAGAUUCUUUGGGCGCCCUCCUAUCCGACCAACGGAAAUCGGUUGGGUUCUUGUUCUCGUUCUCGGCUCGGCCCAAAAGCUCUUACAAUGUUCUGCCUCUAAUUGAAUUACGCGCUGGGUUCGUCUAGGGGCCUGCAGUUUGGCUCAGUGCGCCUUUGACUGGCGUUCUGAAAUCUCUAAGAGCUCUGAAGACUUUCAAUGCAGUCCAUUUUUUGUUCGGAAACCAAACCCAAUCCAGAAACCAGAGGAGUACAACUUCUUGACAUUCAAUCGCAUCGCAUAUGGGGCUCCUGCUACACGAAGUUGUCUGCGAGCUCGCUGUUUGGAUUUAAUUUUUUGGAAACAAACAAACAAUGAGGAGAGCACAAUAAACCAAGACUCGGAUGAUGAGGGUCGCUAAGAAAAGUCGUGGCAUGCUGGCAAAUGAAGAGAAAUCCAAAUAAUAUACAGGCCAUUUGUGAGAUGCUUUCGAGUUCAAUUAAAAGAUGGCCCAUUGUGCGCUCAUUUAAAAUCAAUAAUCCCUCCGUGACACAUUUAAAAUCUCUAAGCAGUUUAGGGAUCUGCAAUCAAAAUUGUCCUCGAAUUAGUCUUAUAAAUAUUUAUUAUACAUGAUGCUAGAUAUUUGCUAGAACUGUGAUGGGAAUAUUUGGCAUCCAGUUCUUACGACUUUAAAAGGUAUUUCAAUAUAUAUAAUGCGUUAAAUAUUGAAUUAAUAUAAAUUUGAAUAAUACAUUUAAAUGUCAAUUUCAAGCCAAUUUCUGCUAAAGCGCCCCAUUUUAGAAACAUUUUGUAAUAGAAACAUGACAUGAAUCACUUCCUAAAUAAAUCGUUAGGUCAAAAGUAGUUUUGGACUAGAAGAAGUAAGUAAUACACGUUUCAAGUGCACGCACGAAUUUAGUCUCCUCACUGACGCCAAGCCCACAUUGAUUUCCAAAGUCUUCUUGCCUGGUAGUUAUCUUCCACGUCCGAUACGAUAGGAUACCCAGCCCAGUCAAUGAGCUCACUACAGCAGGAACCGUUUUCAAACUACGAGCUAAUGAAUUUAUUUUCAAAAGUCAUACGCAUUGUUUGUGCAACAAUUUAUCACCGCCGGAGUCUCGGAUCACAUUAGAAGCACGCUUUGUUCGCCGAAUAUGGCAGAAAAUCCAAAGCCGGCAGCCAGCAGCCCCAUCAAUCACCGGCUGACAAGCCACCUAAAUACAAUAUAAAUAUAUUGAGCUGCCAGGGAGGUCAGUCGCAGUCCACAGUCGUUAUAAUCUUGGAAAGGCUAACCCCGCCGACUUAUCGCAUAUGUGCAUUACAUUAAGCUUAAUUAGUCUUUCAGAGAGUUGACUGGAGGAGAAAAUAUUAUUUAUACACAGGAACAACAAAAGAUCAAUAUUACCCAGACAUAUCCCCGAAUCAUAUUUAUUUCAUUGAUUUGAAUGGUUUUCGUUCACACAUUGCGUUCAAUGUAGUCUGGAGCUGUGGGAAAGCUCGGACUCUGAUUAAUGAAGCGUUGUAUUUGUGCAUAAAUUGCGGCACGUAUAAUAAAUUACGCCAAAUAAUAAAUUGUAAAUUAUGCAAAGCGAAA